UUACGGCUACAUCACGCUGAAACACCGGAUUCCGUACGAUCACUGAAGUUAAGCAACGUCGAGCCUGGUCAGUACCUUGAUGGGUGACCGCUUCGAAUAAGAGGUGCU